UUAAUUAAGAAUUAUUAGAAAAUAAUAAUCAAAAAAUUUCAUCAUUAUUAUCAUCAAAAUUGGGAAAUUUACGGAUUCACAAUUUUUUACGCGAAAAUUAUGGAUUUACGUUUUGGACGAAAUACAUGUUUUUUUGCGGAAAAAUACGAAUUUACGUUUUUAGCAGGAAAAUUACGGGUUUAUGUUUUUGGCGGAAAAAAUUGAGAUUUAUGUUUUGAAUCGCAAUUAUACAACAAAAUAUUAUUUGAAUCAUAAGUUUCAUCGGAUUUUUACCGACUUUCAACGAUUUGUCACUGAAUCUCACCAAAUUUUAUUGAAUUGUCACCGGAUCUUCACAAGAUUUCGUCGCAUUGUCACCGGAUCUGCAUCAGUAUUUUUUUAAAUUAACCAAUGGAACUUAGGAAGUUUCAUCAUAAUAUUAACACUAAAUUGUGUUGAAUUUUUAGUAUUGAUUGACUCUAUUCCAAACAUGUUUUCACUGAUUACAAAUAACCGCUUGUCAUAGAUUUUUCAUAUUCUUACAAAAUAAAUAUAUAUUUUAUU
rnacentral:sRNA from 1 species